rnacentral:rRNA from 1 species
CAGAGACCUCAAGCGUUAUCCGGAUUUAUUGGGCGUAAAGCGUGUGUAGGCGGAUUAAUUAGUCAGAUGUUAAAUCUCGGGGCUCAACCCCGAACUCGCAUUUGAAACGGUUAGUCUAGAGUAUGUGAGAGAUCAGUGGAAUUUAUGGUGUAGUAGUGAAAUGCGUUGAUAUCAUAAGGAACACCCAAGGCGAAGGCAACUGAUUGGCACAUUACUGACGCUGAGACACGAAAGCGUGGGAGCGAAUAGGAUU